CUACAGGUCAACAGGGGUUAGGGUUAGUUACCUACAGGUCAACAGGGGUUAGGGUUAGUUACCUACAGGUCAACGGGGUCAAUGAGACAACAUCACUGGUGUGUAUAGGUAGGUACACUAUAUGGUAAUAACUAAGUAGUUAUUUAUAUAUUACAGAUCAGGGUUUUAGUAGUUAUUGAUAUAUUACAGAUCAGGGUUUUAGUAGUAAUUGAUAUAUUAUAGAUCAGGGUUUUAGUAGUUAUUGAUAUAUUACAGGUUUUAGUAGUAAUUGAUAUAUUACAGAUCAGGGUUUUAGUAGUAAUUGAUAUAUUAUAGAUCAAGGUUUUAGUAGUUAUUGAUAUAUUACAGGUUUUAGUAGUUAUUGAUAUAUUAUAGAUCAGGGUUUUAGUAGUUAUUGAUAUAUUAUAGAUCAGGGUUUUAGUCGUUAUUGAUAUAUUACAGGUUUUAGUAGUAAUUGAUAUAUUAUAGAUCAGGGUUUUAGUAGUUAUUGAUAUAUUAUAGAUCAGGGUUUUAGUAGUUAUUGAUAUAUUACAGGUUUUAGUAGUUAUUGAUAUAUUAUAGAUCAGGGUUUUAGUAGUUAUUGAUAUAUUACAGGUUUUAGUAGUUAUUGAUAUAUUAUAGAUCAGGGUUUUAGUAGUUAUUGAUAUAUUACAGGUUUUAGUAGUUAUUGAUAUAUUACAGGUUUUAGUAGUUAUUGAUAUAUUACAGGUUUUAGUAGUUAUUGAGAUAUUACAGGUUUUAGUAGUUAUUGAUAUAUUACAGGUUUUAGUAGUUAUUGAUAUAUUAUAGAUCAUGGUUUUAGUAGUUAUUGAUAUAUUACAGGUUUUAGUAGUUAUUGAUAUAUUAUAGAUCAGGGUUUUAGUAGUUAUUGAUAUAUUACAGGUUUUAGUAGUUAUUGAUAUAUUGCAGGUUUUAGUAGUUAUUGAUAUAUUACAGGUUUGAGUAGUUAUUAAUAUAUUACAGGUCAGGGUUUGAGUAGUUAUUAAUAUAUUACAGGUCAGGGUUAGUAGUUAUUAAUAUAUUACAGGUCAGGGUUAGUAGUUAUUAAUAUAU